UCCUGCAUCGAAAGUGUCGUGGGCUGCCCGUGCCCUGGUCACCAAUAGUGCAGGGACAGGAGUCACUGGAAGCCUUUCCCCGUGUUUGGAGGGCCCAGUUGUCCCCUCCAAACCCUGGAGCUUUCACACA
rnacentral:snoRNA from 1 species